rnacentral:RNase_P_RNA from 1 species
CCAGAGGGUCGGGCGGCCGCCCUUCUUCGCCAAGCUACGAAGGGCAGGCAUUGAGCUUGCCCUUGCGAAGCUUCAGCGAAGGAGGGAGGAAAGUCCGGGCUCCAUGGAACGACGGUGCCGGGUAACACCCGGCGGGGGCGACCCCAGGGAAAGUGCCACAGAAAGCAGACCGCCGCGUCUCGAUGCGGCAAGGGCGAAAGGGUGGGGUAAGAGCCCACCGCGGCUCCGGCAACGGCAGCCGGCACGGUAAACCCCACCGGGAGCAAGACCGAAUAGGGGCGGCAUAUGGGCUUCGUUCCGGCCCCGUCGCCCGGGUAGGUUGCUCGAGGGGCGGAGCGAUCCGUCUCCCAGAGGAAUGGCCGCCCAGUCCGCCGAAGCCUCGCGCCGAGGCGGAUGGACAGAACCCGGCUUACAGACCCUCUGGCAUU